rnacentral:lncRNA from 1 species
ACAGCAUGCAAGUCCAGCAUAGGCCAUGGUGGAUAAUUGUAUUGUCCUCAUCGGGAUUGUAACGGGGCUACCAGAUGAAUAUCCAGCUGCUUCCAUCCCUUUGAAGGAACAGUACACAAACCUGCAGCCUUAGCUCCCACCCUUACUACGGAAGGGGCUCAGCAUUCAGUCUGUAGGCAUAGCAGCAGAUUGGCAAGGUGACAUAACAACUAUUUGCAAGUCUACGUGCUGUCUGAAGUUACCAAAGUAAAUUGCACAGCAGUCUGCUUGGUAGUCCCUAAGAAGAUAAAGUGGUCAGUGCUGCUCUGCUUUGAAAAUAUCAGCCCUGCUUUGUGCAGAAUAUUGCAGACUGGCUGAAAUGUUGCCCAAGCAACAUCCACUCUUCAGCUGUACUUCUCACAGUGGCUUAAGCUGAAGAAGGAACAAGACCCAAGGAAGUGUUUGGAAAUCUCUCUUGCAUCCUCCCAGUCUGAGAC